UACAGAGGGGGCAAGCGUUGUUCGGAAUUACUGGGCGUAAAGGGCGCGUAGGCGGCCGCCUAAGUCAGACGUGAAAUCCCUCGGCUCAACCGGGGAACUGCGUCUGAUACUGGGAGGCUUGAAUCCGGGAGAGGAAUGUGGAAUUCCUGGUGUAGCGGUGAAAUGCGCAGAUAUCAGGAGGAACACCGGUGGCGAAGGCGGGUCUCUGGGCCGAUACUGACGCUGAGGAGCGAAAGCGUGGGGAGCGAACAGG
rnacentral:rRNA from 1 species